rnacentral:rRNA from 1 species
GGGCCCGCACAAGCGGUGGAGCAUGUGGUUUAAUUCGAUGCAACGCGAAGAACCUUACCUGGUCUUGACAUACACAGAAUCUUGUAGAGAUACGAGAGUGCCUUCGGGAAUUGUGAUACAGGUGCUGCAUGGCUGUCGUCAGCUCGUGUCGUGAGAUGUUGGGUUAAGUCCUAUAACGAGCGCAACCCCUAUCGUUAGUUGCCAGCGGGUCAUGCCGGGAACUCUAGCGAAACUGCCGGUGCAAACCGAGAGGAAGGUGGGGAUGACGUCAAAUCAUCACGGCCCUUACGUCCUGGGCCACACACGUGCUACAAUGGCCGGUACAGAGAGCAGCCACUACGCGAGUAGGAGCGAAUCUACAAAACCGGUCUCAGUUCGGAUCGCAGUCUGCAACUCGACUGCGUGAAGCUGGAAUCGCUAGUAAUCG